rnacentral:rRNA from 1 species
GUAGAGUAACACGUGGAUAACCUACCUAUAAGACUGGGAUAGCUUCGGGAACCGGAGCUAAUACCGGAUAAUAUAUUGAACCGCAUGGUUCAAUAGUGAAAGACGGUUUUGCUGUCACUUAUAGAUGGAUCCGCGCCGCAUUAGCUAGUUGGUAAAGUAACGGCUUACCAAGGCAACGAUGCGUAGCCGACCUGGGAGGGUGAUCGGCCACACUGGAACUGAGACACGGUCCAG